AAAGAGCUCGUAGGUGGUUUGUCGCGUUGUUCGUGAAAUCUCACGGCUUAACUGUGAGCGUGCGGGCGAUACGGGCAGACUGGAGUACUGCAGGGGAGACUGGAAUUCCUGGUGUAGCGGUGGAAUGCGCAGAUAUCAGGAGGAACACCGGUGGCGAAGGCGGGUCUCUGGGCAGUAACUGACGCUGAGGAGCGAAAGCGUGGGGAGCGAACAGGAUUAGAUACCCCUGU
rnacentral:rRNA from 1 species